UACGUAGGCAGCGAGCGUUGUUCGGAGUUACUGGGCGUAAAGGGUGUGUAGGCGGUUUUCUAAGUUUGGUGUGAAAUCUCCCGGCUUAACCGGGAGGGUGCGCCGAAAACUGGGAGACUAGAGUGGCGGGAUGGGAGAGUAGAAUUCCUGGUGUAGCGGUGAAAUGCGUAGAUAUCAGGAGGAAUACCGGUGGUGCAGACGGCUCUCUGGACCGCAACUGACGCUGAGACACGAAAAGCGUGGGUAGCAAACAGG
rnacentral:rRNA from 1 species